ensembl:lncRNA
AACGAACAGGCUUUAAACCUAAGUGAGGUUCGGUUACAAAGGUGCAUGUCGAUCCCUUGGGUACUGCUCUGUGCGCCCACACGUGGCAGCACAUGCAUGGAGACACCUCAGACAACGGUGGGCCUUUCGUGGUUUGGCCUGUUUGCUUCAUUGGUUUGACUGCGUUGCUGUUUGCAGUUUCACGUGGCUGAGCACUUUUCAAAGAAACAAAGCUAAAUCUGAGAACUGCAAAGUGAAGGUUACAAAUCCAAACUGCCCAGCUGACUCAAGCUAGGAGCCUCCAAUUUAUCCACGGGCUUCUUCUGGCACAGAACCCACACGUCGUGCAAAGGACAGCUGUGAGUUCAUGGCGUUGUGCAGAGCUCUGCUCAUCCACCACUGACUUGAUCUUGUGAUUUUUGGAGCACGCUGUGGACGUGCAGCAAUGCAUUCUUAGUACUGAGAAGAAACUUCAAGAAAUGGAUAUCUGGCAAGUACUUAAAGUCAGUUCUGAAGUGAUGCUAGAAAUACCACAUUUCUGGUCAGGCCUAUUACUGCAACAUCAAUGAUGCCUUUGUUCCUCGGUGCUUUUAUCCCUUACCCAAACAGCUCAUGAGAUGGCAGAUUGACUGGGAGCCCAAAAUUGCCAGGAGGGCAGUAGCUGUAAGGAUACCAAAUGUUGCCAGCCCUCUUCAAAAGAAAUUACCUUCUGACAAAUAACCUAUUCCUGACACGGCGUGAGCCUGAUAGCAUCACAGUUGACAAUAGAAGGUAGCACUGGUACAGAUUUAAACAUCUCCUCUUAAAAGCAGUUCGUAAUCUUGGCAUAGUUAAUAACUGCAGCACUCCGUGAAGUAAAUACUCAUUAGCCCCUGUUCUAACAACGUGGAGUGGUGUGGCUCUGUGUCAUCAGUGACUCAGCCACACAGGGUCAGUUUCAGUUUGGGGAGCUUCUUCUUUACAGCCCCAUUGCUCUUUUAGGCAAUCCGGAAUGGUGGGCACCAACCAGGCCUUGGCACCCCCUGUUACAUGGGGCCAGAGGAAAUGAUGCCAUUUCAAAUACAUUCCUGAGGGCACCAAGUGGGGUACAGUCUGAGGACACAGGUUGUCCUGAUAUGUCCUCCUGGUCCUACCAGACACACCUGGUGGUAUCUUGGGCACUGGUUUUGAAGCUUUUUAUAUAGGAUAUGACACGGUCUCAAAACACUGCUGUACAGUAGCAAGCCAUGCUACAGACCCCUUCCCUCCACAACAAAGUCCCUGUCUGACUCCACCCCCAGCUCAGAUAUUACUGCGUGGCAGACAUUUCCCAAGCAGUCAGACAUUAAUGUAACCCACAGCGAGCUGUUGUAUGUGCACAAGCUGCUGAUACAGGGAGUGAGGGAUUUCGUAAGGCCCGAGGAAUAAGAGCAGUGAUUAAACACAAUUCUCCUUAGUGCACCUAAGCAUAAUAGUCUCUUGAUGUUGGCAUCUCCUUUUGAAAUGCUAAUGGCCUUCUUCUGGUUAGCUCUUUAGGAUCAGCGAGUAAAGAGGCAUUAGGAAAUAAAAGUACCAUUCGUGUUGAUAUGAAAGAGUUGUUCUACCCUACAAUGCAACUGCAAAUGGCACAAAGGAGUUUUAUGUUUGUUGUCUCCCUGCAGCCUCCAGAGAACAUACAUUUUGUUUACGAGGCAAGCCAUUUACGAAUGCCAAACCCUGCAAAUUCUAGCUGGAAGGAUACCAGCAAAUAUCUCCACUGCAGAGUUUACCCACUGCCCAUCAGCUCUGCCCAUGCUGCACACACGCCCUCCGUUCAUGCUCUCAUAGCCAUACCCACGCUGUGUGCUGGGACUUGGCAGUGCGUAC